GUUUUAUAAAGUAAAAUUUAAUAUACUACAAAUAAAUGUGUUUUCCAAAGGGAGUCUGGAGAGAUUAAAUUGCUUCUAAACUCCUAUAUGUGAGUCCUUGAUAUACUAUGUCCAGUUUGAAACUGACUUGUUUACAUUUGUUUCAUAGCUAUUCCUUCCCUAAAACCUGUAACUCCUUUAAGAGAGUGUGGGUAACAAGAUAUGUUAACUAUGUUAUCACUGCUAAUAAGUUAGAAUUUAUUUUGUGUUUCUCUGGAUUAUGUGGACACAUGUAUGUGUGUGUCUUGUUAUAAUUGUAGUUUUUACUGUAAACUGAUAGGUUCCUGUUGGUAGCUGCAUUCCUAAUUCAUUUAAGAAAGAUUACUAUUACAGCAAGUGUAAAAUUUUCUCAAAAACUUUCCCCAUGACACUGUGGGGGGAAAUGUCUUUAAAUAAAUGUGAGAUAGUCUCGUCUUUGAAAUAUGGGUGGCAAAGGGGGGGGGGGUAAUGUGAUUUUAUGAUUACUUAUUAGGGGCUGUAAUAAUAUAAAAUAAAAGACUCCAGGAGGUACUCCCUUUCAAAAAUUGAAUACUUUCCUUCCUUCCUUCCUUGUAUAGAAUGACUGAGUGGGAGUCUCUUGAAUUGUUCGUCUUCCUUUUAUCUAAUAUUCUAUUAAUCUCCAAAAAGAUCAGUUUGAGUCUGGGAAAGGGUUUUUAAUCAACACUUCACAAAGCUUAAAGCUACCCUACCUAAAGUAUCAGCUUUGUUAGGCGGUUUUAGAUUUAAAGCAUUGCAACUGUCAUGCACUGUACUAAAGUAAAGAAUGUACACCAAGUGGAAGAUGUUGAAAAGAGGGAAAUAGCACAAAGUCGAUUAGUGGAGAUUCAAGAACAGAAGUAGUCAUCAAAGCAUUCCAGCAUUUAUCUCAAAAUCUAUGUAGGGUUUAAAAAAAAAGCAACAAUGAUAGUUUUAAACCUCACACUUAUGAAGGAUGAAUGUUGAUUUAAUUGAUUCAUUUGGAUCGAUGUUUUUAAAGUUUCACACCACUGAUCUUUCAUGUAGUGAUGUCUUUAGCAGUCAGUGGUCUGACAUGAGCCUUCUCAGAUUUCAUCAGUGGAACUCUCCAUGACAUCUAAAAUUAUGCAACAGCCUGUUCAAUGUUAACUUUGGAAUUGAGAGACCUCAAUGCCAAAGUGCAUAUUACAUUGAAGAACUCUAAUUCUUAGAACAAAGGUUUUAUAGGAGUAAUAACUGUAAAUGAGCCACAGAGGUUAAAGAAUUGCUAGAUAGAAGAAAGUUGUCCUAAAAGUUUGACCAUUAAGUGGACAUCACAGCGUGACCAAUAUUUUCCCCUUGAAUGUAAAAAGGUUCAAAAUGGAAAUUUGGCUUAAUCCAUGAGACCUUCCAGGCAACUUUUCCCAAUCAUUUGCUUUGAGAUUUGUGGAAAACCUUUCACUAUAUUCUCUGUAUUGUUGGGAUUGGGUUUUGUUUAAAACACAUGAAACAUGUUUUAGAAAGAAGUCCUGCAUUUUUUCCCCCAGAUGAUUCAGCUUUUUCUUUGGCUAUUACAUUGGGUGAUAUGGAAAACUAUCAUAGGUAAAAUAAUGUUGAACUGUACUUUGUGACCAGCCUGCAGUACCAAUACAAAGAAUCUGAAAUGAAAAGACAACCAACACCCCAAGAAUGAUAUGUCUCUUUUUAAAGUUUACAAUUUGAAUAAUGAACUUGGAUAGAAACUUGGCAGGAAAACAAACCAUGGCACCAUCACAUCACCAACCAUUUUCACUUUUCUGUCCAAUUUCAGAGUGCAUGUGUUUGUGAGUAUUUCACUAGAUCAGUGACAGCUCUUUAUUUGCAUAAUUAUAUGCUCUGGUCUGAAGAGAAAACUAACCCCCAAAUUUCAUGGGUCACCAAACUGCAACAAUCAAUGUUUUAUCACGUAUGCUAAGCAAAAUCUAAGAAGCUAUAUGAAGUUUCUUGGGGAGUUUUUACUCCUCAGAAAAUUAAAGAGUUUUCCUCUCCUGAAUAGAUUCAAAAUCUUUCCAAGUUCUUUGUAACUGAAUUCUGUUUGAAGGCAAAACUAGAGAUUAACAUGUAGAUCUGGAUCGUAGACUCACUAGCAUUACUUCAAAGUGGCUUAAGAGGAACAUUUUUGGUGCACUAAACUUUUAAAUUCUUAAUAUUGCCCUUCAUGCUUUCAGGAAUAGUUGUUGGUCAAAUUAUGAUUAGCCAAAAUGGAAGUCCAAGCAACUAUCAUUGACUAUAAAGUUCACUUCCUUCUUUAAAACAGCUCAGGGUUUUUUAAAAACACAUAAUAAAAAAUAUGUCUAUAGGUACAUAUAUGUAUAUGUCUCACACACAUAGAUAUCCAUCCAUGGGAUACAGACAUCUAUUCCUACACUCCACCUGAAAUAUACAGACAGCAUAAACUGUAUGUGUAUGGUAUGUCUAUUUGGUGCCUGUAACACAGUAUGUGUUGGUCACCAUGAAUGUUUGUAAACAUAUUUUCCUUUAAAUAAGUCUUUCAUGUUCAAAAUCUGCAAGGCAUUGUAUUCAAUAUUUUUAAAUAUCUCAAGUUCAUUUGCAUCUAUAAAUAUUCUUUGUAUGUAAGCUCUAUUUGUAUGUAAGGUUGGCUUUAUUUCAUUAAAGAAAAAAUUGAUUUAAA
rnacentral:lncRNA from 1 species